rnacentral:hammerhead_ribozyme from 1 species
GUCCAAAUGACGAGUCCCAAAUGGAACAAAACGCGCGUUCUAGAU